rnacentral:rRNA from 1 species
UAGAGUUUGAUCAUGGCUCAGAUUGAACGCUGGCGGCAGGCCUAACACAUGCAAGUCGAGCGGUAACAUUUCUAGCUUGCUAGAAUAUGACGAGCGGCGGACGGGUGAGUAAUGCCUGGGAAUAUGCCUUGAUGUGGGGGAUAACCAUUGGAAACGAUGGCUAAUACCGCAUAAUCUCUUCGGAGCAAAGAGGGGGACCUUCGGGCCUCUCGCGUCAAGAUUAGCCCAGGUGGGAUUAGCUAGUAGGUGAGGUAACGGCUCACCUAGGCGACGAUCUCUAGCUGGUCUGAGAGGAUGAUCAGCCACACUGGAACUGAGACACGGUCCAGACUCCUACGGGAGGCAGCAGUGGGGAAUAUUGCACAAUGGGCGCAAGCCUGAUGCAGCCAUGCCGCGUGUGUGAAGAAAGCCUUCGGGUUGUAAAGCACUUUCAGUCGUGAGGAAGGCAGUUGCGUUAAUAGCGUAAUUGUUUGACGUUAGCGACAGAAGAAACACCGGCUAACUCCGUGCCAGCAGCCGCGGUAAUACGGAGGGUGCGAGCGUUAAUCGGAAUUACUGGGCGUAUAGCGCAUGCAGGUGGUUAGUUAAGUCACAUGUGAAAGCCCGGGGCUCAACCUCGCAAUUGCAUUUGAAACUGGCUAGCUAGAGUACUGUAGAGGGGGGU